rnacentral:rRNA from 1 species
UACGAAGGGGGCUAGCGUUGCUCGGAAUCACUGGGCGUAAAGGGUGCGUAGGCGGGUCUUUAAGUCAGGGGUGAAAUCCUGGAGCUCAACUCCAGAACUGCCUUUGAUACUGAAGAUCUUGAGUUCGGGAGAGGUGAGUGGAACUGCGAGUGUAGAGGUGAAAUUCGUAGAUAUUCGCAAGAACACCAGUGGCGAAGGCGGCUCACUGGCCCGAAACUGACGCUGAGGCACGAAAGCGUGGGGUGCAAGCAGG